rnacentral:tRNA from 1 species
GGAGGGAUACCGAAGUGGUCAUAACGGGGCGGUCUUGAAAACCGUUAGAGCGUUGCUCACGCAGGUUCGAAUCCUGUUCCCUCCGCCA